CCUCUUGUAGCUUAGUAGUAAGUGUAUUGGUGCGUCAAGCCAAAGGUCCCGGGUUCGAUUCCCGGCGAGGGAG
rnacentral:tRNA from 1 species